rnacentral:pre_miRNA from 1 species
AAAAAGGCAAACCCUGGGUUUGCGUGUCCAACUUUGACUGUUCGUCUUAUAUGAAAUAUUUUUAUAAUUUGUAUUUUCAUUGUUGUUAGAUGAUAAAAUAUGAUUAAUAUUUUAUGCGUGACUUGUCUUUUUAAUUUUUUUUAAAAAAUUUUUAAAUAAGACGAACGGUCAAACGUUGGGCACGGAAAUCAGGGUUUGUCUUUUU